GCAGCAGGCACGCAAAUUACCCACUCCCGGCACGGGGAGGUAGUGACAAAAAAUAACGAUACGGGACUCUUUUGAGGCCUCGUAAUCGGAAUGAGUACACUUUAAAUCCUUUAACAAGGAUCCAUUGGAGGGCAAGUCUGGUGCCAGCAGCCGCGGUAAUUCCAGCUCCAAUAGCGUAUAUUAAAGUUGUUGCGGUUAAAAAGCUCGUAGUUGGUUCUGCGUGCCACGCUGUCGGUACACCGUUUGUCGGUGCAACUGGCAUGUCGUGGCAUGUCCUGUCGGUGGUGACCGGGGUUCCGGGUACUGAAGUUUUCUGAUGGACCCGAUUGGAUUUCCGGUUGCCGACUAUAUCCUACCGCGGUGCUCUUAGUUGAGUGUCGAGGUAGGCCGACACGUUCACUUUGAACAAAUUAGAGUGCUUAAAGCAGGCCAAAAUCUCCGCCUGAAUAGUGGUGCAUGGAAUGAUAGAACAGGACCUUGGUUCUAUUUUAUUGGUUUUCGGAACACAAGGUAAUGAUCAAUGUGGACAGGCGGGGGCAUUCGUAUUGCGACGUUAGAGGUGAAAUUCUUGGAUCGUCGCAAGACGCACUAGAGCGAAAGCAUUUGCCAAGUAUGUCUUAAUUGAUCAAGAACGAAAGUUAGAGGUUCGAAGGCGAUCAGAUACCGCCCUAGUUCUAACCAUAAACGAUGCCAGCCAGCGAUCCGCCGAUGUUCCUCCGAUGACUCGGCGGGGAGCUUUCCCCGGGAAACCAAAGCUUUUGGGUUCCGGGGGAAGUAUGGUUGCAAAGCUGAAACUUAAAGGAAUUGACGGAAGGGCACCACCAGGAGUGGAGCCUGCGGCUUAAUUUGACUCAACACGGGAAACCUCACCAGGUCAGGACAUUGGAAGGAUUGACAGAUUGAUAGCUCUUUCUUGAUUCAGUG
rnacentral:rRNA from 1 species